GGAGCACGAUAUCUUUUCAAGAACUGUUCAUUAUCAUCCCUGGCGAGAAGCUUUACGACCCUAAAGGCCUUCGUCACUCACGCGGCAUGGCUAGAUCAGGCUUUCGCCCAUUGUCUAAGAUUCCCCACUGCUGCCUCCCGUAGGGGGGCGGGGGCGGCGGGCCGGGCGCGGGGCGCGGCGGGCGA
rnacentral:rRNA from 1 species